UGGGAUAAAUAACAGGGUCCUUAGGA
rnacentral:piRNA from 1 species